ACCAGGUUCAAUAAAAAGCGUUUUAAUUGACCAUUACAAUACACAGAGAUAUCUCAUGGAGAUUGGCAAGAAGCAAUCUAACAUCAUGUUACAAUUCCUCAUAUUUUAUACAUAUGACCCGGAACCGGCCUUUCGUUUAGCUUGAAUCAGAACUCCAAAUAUGGUCUUAUUUCCUAUUGGCUAAAUUCUAGCAUAACUGACAAAUUUAAGGUUCAAAAGUUUAAGCAUCCCAUGAUCUUUCUAACAGAUGACUUGACCACAGUCAUGCGUCUUACUUCGCUAAAAUAUCGCUUGUCUAUGAUAAAAGUUAACACAUAUAAGACUUCCUCUUUCACAACUUAAGCACACAUUUCACCUUUCCCCCCCUGGCAACAUCUGACAAGACACGCUUUCAAAAUAACCUUUCCUUUUGCAAUCCAAAAAACAGUCCAGACAUCCAUUAAUAAAUUGUAGCAAUAAAACAUAGUUUCUUCUUAUUUCUUAGAGUAAAUAUUCUUCUUUGAUUAUAUUUUAAGAUGAUGAAUAAACAGCAAAAUGGCUGACAGCAUGUCAGUAGCAGGUUACAUAUGUUCACAGUCCUCCCUUUGGUGCUAGGACUUUCACCACAAAAAGCUCCGUGCAACACUUCCAUGUUUAGCGAAGGUCAUUCAGUGAGCUAGUGAUUUUAAACAGCACUUGCAGGACUUUCCAUAUAGAUGCGCACACGAUCAAUAUCUUCACGAGAAAGCAUGUCUGUAUUCCAAGUCGGUAUGAGUUGUGACCGGAUAGGAGACAUUUCAACAUUCGAAAUUGUGCCAGGGGGAGAUGAAGGUGAACAGCUCUUGAGGAUUAAUCGGCAUGAACACUUUAGGACAUUCACUGCAACAUAUAUAAACACAAGCAUCAAUACUACUAAAAUAACUCCAAUGAGAAUACGUUUUCCCAUUGUUCCCAACCAAUUAGUUAAACCAAAACUCCAGUCAAAACCCCAAUUUAAACCUCCCGAAGAAGUAUUGUGAACUUCUCUAAGUUUAAUUUGUACUUCAUGCAAUUUAUCUACAUCUGUAUGAAUCUGACCAGUAACAUUAUCUAUCUUUAAACGACAUCUUGUUUUUAUUAGUGCACAAACACCACCUUCGGAGGCCAACAAAUAAUCUAGGGCAAACCUAUUUUGCAUAAUCAUAGCUGAAGCUUGUUCCUGUUCCUGCAGACAAUUUUUCAAUAGCAUCUCCUGUAUUAUUAAAGGCUUCAUCUAGUAUAUCUCCUAACAAGUUUAAUUUGUACAUUAAUUCAAUAACCCCCCAUGUAGGUACAAAACCUGCAAAUAGCCUAUCUUCUUCACCAGAUUUUACAGUUCUUUCGGUUUUAUCUUUUUUGGAACUAAUAACCUUUCUUUUAUUCCUCACCCUUCCUUCAGGCAAAUUUUCAUGAAGGGUUAACGCUGGGAUAAUAUUACCUAGAUAACAAGUUUCCACCCAAUUACAUGGAAGUCUUUUUACCGCCCAACUACCACAUAAAUAGUAUACCCCAAAUGGAAGAUGGAUAUCAAUAACAUGAGAAUCUGAGCAGUCAAAAAUAGGUUGAUUAAUAUAGGGCAGUAGCAUAAAAAGAUUGGAAGUUAAAGUUUGAGUAUUAAAGUAGGCCCAUCUCAAAAUAGUGACAUUUAAAUGUUCAUUCUGAUCAUAAUUAUUAUCCAUGAUUUCUACCUCAGAAGUCAAAUUUACCCAUACAUGAUUAGUAAUCACCGGGAUUCUAUCCUUGAUGGGACAUUUUGUCAAAAUAUCUUCUAAUAAGGGUUUCCAACAAAAAGCUUUCAAUCUACCAGUACAAGGGGCAGAAUUAGUUUCAGACCCACAUAGAUUAUAAAGGACAUUGUUUUCAAAAAUAACAAUAGCAUUGCUUAUAGGCUUAACAAUCUUGUCAGGACUUUUCUGAUCCCUGUUAGAAAUUACUACUGCUCUGCUAGUAAUAGGAUAUGUUAAAUGAACCUUAGCAGGUUCGCCAGAUUUGGAUACUUCAUUCUGAAUAAAUCCAACAAACCCCGUUUUAUUUGCUCUUAUUUUCUCACAAAGACCCAUAAAGAUUCCAUAGACCAUGGCACCCCCACAAAAGGAUAACCAUAGUUCAUGGAAUGCGGAGCAAACCCACAAACCCAACAAUGAUUACUUUUGUUUGACAAUUUAUACAAUUCAGUAGCUGUUUUAACAAAAUGAUUAUCUAUCUCCCAUGAAGAAAAAUACUUGGCUCCCUGGCCCAAGCUACACGUGUAUUAAAGAAAAAAAAGAGGAGCUAACGUAGUGUAGAGGAUGAAAAAUUAAAAAAAAUGUCAUAAUGACAAUCAUUAAGGACAAUAUAAGUUUAACCAGUUUGAGAUUCAUGAAGAAAAACAGUAGAGUUGACUUUGGAUUAGAAAGAUACUCCCCUUAUAAAGUACCCCUUUUUAGAAGGGAAAACGGCUUCCUUAGUCCUCUAUUCUUCUUCCAGUGAAAAAAUCUUUUCCAGCGCUUGUCAGUUUACAAUGGGAAAUGUGGAUCCAAGAUUUAACCCCUGCGACUUUAACAGCUGAAUUAGUGGUUAAUAACACUUGAGAAGGUUCUUUCCACCUUGGUUGCAACGCGUGCUUUCGUGAAUGAUCUUUUAUCAUAACAUAAUCUCCAGGAGCAAUGGCAUGCAAAGGUUGGUAUUCACUUGUUCGCUGUACAGCUUUUACCUGCAUAUAGAGAGACUAAUCGUUUUGUUAGCUACAUGCAAUAUGUCAUUACUAAAUCAUCAUUUAUCUCAUGAGAAUAACAUUUUAUAGGUACCCCUCCUGUGAACAUUGGUCUUCCCAUUAGAAUUUCAUGAGGGGAUAACCCUGCUUUCAAACUAGAGAGAAUCUCAUAGACAUUAAGGCAAGAGGAAGUGCAUUAAGCCACUUUAACUUUCUCUGCUGCAAUUUUUGCAAUUUUGUUUUUCAAUGUUCCAUUGGCCCUUUCUACUGCUCCUUCUGACUGAGGAUGAUGAGAGCAAUGUAAAUGAUAAGGGAUUUGCUAAAUUUUUGCUAUCUGUUGCACUACUUUUCCUGUGAAAUGUGUUCCCUGAUCUGAGUAAAUGUGCCGAGGCAAUCCAUACCUGGGUAUAAAUUCUUGUAACAAUUUCUUAAACACUGUAGACAUAUCGGCAUGGCAACAAGGAUAAGCCUCAAUCCAACCUGAGAAUGUAUCUAAUAUUACUAGCACAUACCGAUACUGCAUUACCUUUGGUAAUUCAAUGAAAUCCAUUUGUAAAUUUACAAAUGGACCUCAUGAACAGGGAGGAUGAUUUAGGUCUCUGACCUGCAUUGUAUUGUAAACAAAUAACACAUGAAGAACACACCAGUGCCAAUACAGAUUCUAGGCCCAGCCUUGACCAUUCAGAAUUAAACAAUGAUGGCAAUGCUGGUCUUCCACUAAAUAUACACUCUCCCCACCAAAAUCACUUACUUCUUCUUCCCUCAGUAUCACAUACAAUUCAUUUACUUUCAAAUGUACCAUAGGUUCUGGACCUUGGGUCACUGGUACACUAACAAUACAUAUUCAGACCCCAAUCUUCCUCUACAUCUAGUCUGUCUUUUUCUUCUAAUUGCUUUCUUGCCCCCUUUACCUCCUUGCAAUCUGUUGCUAUAUGACCAUAUCCAUCACAAUUGAAACAUUUGAUAAAUGUUCUUACAUUAUUCUGUGGGGGUCUUCUGGCUAUGUUUUGUCUUGGCUGAUGUGCAUAAUAUAUAACAGGAAUUUGUUCAGCUUGUAGCAUUAUGUGCUCAGCUUUUGCAUUUUCCUUGAUUUGAAUAGCUUGUCAAAUUUCUGAUGCUGCACUUAAUACAAUAUUAAGUGAUUUAUCCCGUCAUCCCAGUAAGGAUAACAUCAAUUGUUUUUUUUUACUUUAGCAUCCAAACCAUUUACUAAGGUAUUCACUAUGAACGGCUUAAUUGAUUAAUUCGUGAUAUCUUCAAAACUUCCAAAAACCUUAAUUGCUUCCGCAUAUUCAUAGGGGUUUUCUCCUUUCUUUUGCACUAUGCUAUGUAUAGUCAAUAGGCUGGGUAAAAACUGUUUUUACUUUAAUGCUGAGGAAUGCAUACCAAUUCUUAAGGACAACAUCACUCCUCUCAUCAGGGCAAUUUUCCCAUAUGUGUGCAACUGCUUGUCCCCCCACCCCUGCAGGCCAUGAGAAAGGUGAUUCGUUAUAUCCUGCCACCCAUUUAGUAUGUUCUGUAGGGGUUAAUACUGUCUCCAUUAACUCAUUAAGAUCUUAUGUUGUGGGGAAAUAGCUGGCACACAUUAUUUUUAAAUGUUUUACAAACCCAUUUGGAUCUAGAGGGGGCAGGAAAUGAUACCUGUAAAAAUGCUAUGUCUUGUGGGCUCCACGGUUGACAAAUCCUCCGUGGUCUCCCAUCAUUAUCCAUCUGUCCCACUUCUCUAAUAGGUAAAAUCAUAGCCUCCCUCCCAUCACUCUCAGGCAACACAUUGCUACAUCCUGAUAAACCUGAUAGUAACCACAGCAUGAUCAGCAAAUCUUUUAGGCAGUCUAAUAUCCCCCUCAGGUCUACCACCUCAAUGCAACAUGGCUG
rnacentral:lncRNA from 1 species